ACGUACACUCCUACGGGAGGCAGCAGUGGGGAAUAUUGCACAAUGGGCGCAAGCCUGAUGCAGUGACGCCGCGUGGGGGAUGAAGGCCUUCGGGUUGUAAACUCCUUUCGCUAGGGACGAAGCUUUUUUGUGACGGUACCUAGAUAAGAAGCACCGGCUAACUACGUGCCAGCAGCCGCGGUAAUACGUAGGGUGCGAGCGUUGUCCGGAAUUACUGGGCGUAAAGGGCUCGUAGGUGGUUUGUCGCGUCGUCUGUGAAAUUCUGGGGCUUAACUCCGGGCGUGCAGGCGAUACGGGCAUAACUUGAGUGCUGUAGGGGUAACUGGAAUUCCUGGUGUAGCGGUGAAAUGCGCAGAUAUCAGGAGGAACACCGAUGGCGAAGGCAGGUUACUGGGCAGUUACUGACGCUGAGGAGCGAAAGCAUGGGUAGCGAACAGGAUUAGAAACCCCUGUAGUCCCAUGAU
rnacentral:rRNA from 1 species